UCCUACGGGAGGCAGCAGUGGGGAAUCUUGCACAAUGGAGGAAACUCUGAUGCAGCGAUGCCGCGUGAGUGAGGAAGGCCCUUGGGUUGUAAAGCUCUUUCGUCGGGGAAGAAAAUGACUGUACCCGAAUAAGAAGGUCCGGCUAACUUCGUGCCAGCAGCCGCGGUAAU
rnacentral:rRNA from 1 species